CUAUUUUUGUACCCAUUUGGGUAAGGCACAUCAAACCUAACCUCUGUUGAACGUGACAGCAUUUCCGUAUAGCAUGUCACAAUAUGUUCACCUCGCUAAAUCAUUGCUUUUAUCAUCGCGUGUAUCUUUUGGAAUAUAAGAAAAGGUUCAAGAUAAAGUUUCAUUUGACAAGUGACCAUUUGUAUUGAAAAUAUGAAAUGAAAUGUGUUGGCAUUUGUUUAUUCUUCACAAUUCAUAGAUAGUGCAAUUAUCCUUGAUAAAUUGUACUUGAUAUACAUUGACUUGUACAACAGUAUUAACGUACAUUAUAAUAUUUACUUGUGAUAAUAACAAUGUGCUAUUUAUUGCACGCAGUUUUAACUACUUUUUUUACGAUUGUAUUAACACAAUCGCUUAACAUGGCUGCAGAAAGUACAAAGGUACAUCAAAAUUUGUCUGCUUCUUGUGCUGCCUUUUCAAAAGUAUUCUACAAGGAAUUGUAUGUCACCAGUGAAGAAAAUAUAGUUAGCUCCCCGUUAAGUAUACAUAUGAUCUUAUCUUUACUUUCUCAUGGUGCAAAAUCUGAAACGUUAAACGCAUUAUCUACUAGCCUCUAUCACCAUGAUAAAAAUAUGAUAAAAGAAGGAUAUGCAGAUCUAGUAACUGUGUUGAAUGAAUUGAAAAAUAUUACCUUACAUGUUGCUAAUGCAAUAUACAUUCAAGAAGAGUUUGAGUUGUUACCGGAAUUUCUGGAGAUAGGUACCAAUACAUAUAAAUCUGUUAUUUCAAAAUUAGAUUUUAAACACAAGAAAGAGGAGGCUGCAGAUGAAAUUAACAAAUGGGUUGAACAAAUAACCCAUCAUAAAAUUUCUGGUCUUGUGUCUUCAGAUGAUUUUGAUGAAUUUUCAAAACUGGUAUUGGUAAAUGCAAUCUAUUUUAGUGGGAUGUGGUUAAAGAAAUUUGAUGUUGAUCAGACACAGAAAAAAAUAUUCCAUACUGCAAGAGGUGAGAAAAAAAUGGUAGCCACAAUGUUUAAGAAGUCUAGAUAUAAUUAUGGUGAAAUACCAUUAUUGGAUGCAAAAUUUAUUGAAAUUCCUUACAUGAAUGAAGAUAUUGUAAUGACCGUAUUGGUACCAAACGAAGUAGACGGGCUUACAAAUUUACAAAAUAAGUUUUCAUGGGAAGUACUUGCAAAUGCAUCUCGAAAGAAUGCUGACAUUUCAUUAUAUCUUCCAAGAUUCGAAAUAGAAUUCACAGUUGACUUAGACGAUAUAUUACGAAAGCUUGGCUUAGAAAACAUGUUUGAAGAUGAGGCAGACUUUGGCGACAUUUCAAAUAUUCCUUUAAAGGUCAGCAAAGUCGUACAUAAAGCUGUGAUAAAAGUAAGCGAGGAGGGUACUGAAGCUGCAGCUGCUACAGCUGUGCAUAUGAGACUUAAAAGAAGUUUUCAACGGGCUGAACAAUUUUUGGUUGAUCGGCCAUUCAUGUUUAUAAUUGAGCACAAACCAAACAACAUACCGCUCUUUAUUGGAAAUGUAAAGGACUUGGAAUCCGAAUCCAAAAGAGAUGAAUUAUAAAUUAUUGCCUACACAAAUGACAUCGAUACUUGUAUAUCAAACUACUAUUUUUAUUGACUUUAUUUUAUCAUACAAUGCAUUUGUUUCACACAAAGAAGUAUUAAUAGAAAAUGAGCAGAUACUUCGAUUAUAAAUAUUAAAAUAUACAUUUGUAUGCACACUUUAUUAUACAUGAUACUGUUAAACCUA